GCAGACCCACCCACGGGGGGGGGAGGGGGGAAGCGGCCGGUUUAAAGUGGCGGGCUACGUGGAUCAUUUUUGUCCGAGCCCACGUUGCGUCACCCCCGCGGUGACGUCACAACCAGUUUGGGAGGCUGGGAGGGGCCUUGGCCGUAGCCGGGCCGGGGCUCCUAGGGGUUGGGGGGGGCCUUCCUGCUCCACCUGCACGCCCCAGCAGUCUCGGCACCCUCCCCGGCCCCCACCUAGAGACAGCUCAGGAUGCAAAGGCCAGAAACACCUCGCCAGCCUGGUCCUGGAAAGUAUCUGUCAUAUUAUAUGUAUACACAUACUCGGCCCGUCUUUGUCGGACCCCACAGUCCAGUAGAGACUGAAAGCAAGAAGCCUUUAUUAAGCACCUGCUGUUUGUGCCUUGCUCUCCUCUCGGGGGUUGGGGAUAUAGAUACGAAAGCGAGACCAGCCCCUUGCCAUCACUUCAAGUCAACGAUAUUAGGGGCUUCCUAACCAUGUGCCAGCCAUUGUGCUAGUCUAUGGGGAUGCAAAGAAAGGCUCAAACAGACCCUGCUCUCAAACAGCUCACCAUCCAAUGGAGACAACAAGCUAUCUGUGUGCAGAUGAGGUACGCUGCUGAGCACAGUAAACUGCAGGAAGAAGUCUAAAAAUGUCACUUCAAAUGGAAACUGCAGAUCUGAAGAGUCCCUGGGGAGCAUCACGACAGCCCAAGUAAUCAGCAUCAACACUUACUGAGAACCUCGGUGCUACUAAGUAUGGAGUACCCACUAACGACAGAAACUCUGCCCAAGUAUGGAAGGCAUACCAAUCAGAACACCACCAUAUUAGUUCCUCUAAUAGACUUCUUAAAAAUGUCUGAGCUCUGGGCAUCAAAGCAACAUGGCACACGCACAUUACAUAUACCACAAUGAAACAUGUGAGAUAACUAGUUUCUUUUCUGAACAAAAUGUUCAGUUCUAUUAAUAAGGCCACUUUAUAGUUGGAAGACACUGGCAAAACAGGAUAGGAAACUAGCGAUCUACUUUAUUUAAAUGGGCAGAUUAUGGCCUGGGAAAUAAAAGGAAGGGAUGGUUCUACUGUUUUCCUAAAUAGUAAAAAAGAUUUUAAAAAAUUAUUAAAGCAACAGGGACUUAGAGCUCCUACUGGAAAGGUGCUCAGUUGCUUCUUUUCUUCCUAUUUAAAAAUUCCUUUCCAGGAAUGGAAAAGAUAAAAAGAGCCAGAAAAAGAUAUAGAGAACUACAUCUUUCUUUCCUCCCUGGCAGACUCUUCUCUGAGGUAGUUAAGGAGAGACUGAGAAAGAAAAAAUUGGGGGCUAAGGGAAUUUUAAAAAAAUCUAAUUUCAACUGGGCUCUCACUGUCACAGUGAUUCUUUUAUUUUUCUCCGAUUGACUCUUGAUCAUACUUCCCCUCCUCAUCCAGUGGGUAUUCUAAAUCUUCUCCAAGUUUCUUCUCAAGCCCCCUACACUAUACUCACCCCUCUACUCCUUCAAGCAGAUAAUUCUGCCUUCUACUCUGCUGAAGAAAUUGAGGCCCCUGCUGUGGGCUUCCUCAUUACUCUAUCUUUACAUCUAAAAUCCCUCUACAUUCUCUCCCAUCCUUACUUCCUUUGAGUCUCUGAGAAAGAGACUCCUUGCCAAGCCUAGCCCUUCUACUUCACUGAUUCACAAAGUCUCUGAGCUGAAAGAAACCUCAGAGGCCAGGAAAUGCAAUCAGUGGUGCCUUCUAUGUUUUCUAUCUAACAAGUAUGUUCAUCCAGCUUUUGUGAGAAGCUUUUGCCUCUAGUGAUGGAGAACUCAUUUUCAUUGGAAGCAGUUCGUUCCACUUUUGGACAGUUCUGACCAUUAAGGCAUUUUUCUGUACAUUAAACCUCUCUGAAACUCUCAAGCAUUGCUGCUCAUUCUGCCCUCGGGAUCAAGCAGACCAAGUAGAAUCCCAUUAUCACAUAUGAGCCCUUCUAACGUUUAAGGAAAGCGUCAAGUCCUAGCUAAGUCUUCUCAAGGCCAAGAAGGCUUGUCAGAUUCUUCAAGUGAUCCUCAUAUGGGUGGCAUCAUCUGGAAGCCUUUCACCAUCCUGCUUCUACUCCCCCUUCUCUUCCCAUCUCCUCCAGGAUCAUGUCCCAUCAGUUUCUUCUGUUUUCUCCUUAAUCUCCAUCCUUCCCUGCAAUCAGAUAUGUCCAGAUCCUCCUUAUAUUUAUCAUCCUAGAUUUCUCUUUCCUUUUCCUGCCAAACUCCUAGGAAUAAUGGCUCCAUUUUCUCCCUUCCCACUCACUCCUUAAUUCUUGUAGCUUUGCUCUUAAACCCACCAUUUUACUUGAAGGUGCUCUCAAAUGGCACCAAUGAUCUCUUCUGCUACCUCUCCGGCUGCAUCUUCCCUGACUUCUGUGCAGCCUUUGGCACUGGCGCAUCACCCCUCCCCUUCUCCAUACGUCUCUCUCCUCUCUGUUCCCACAACAUCAUUCUCUAUUAGUUACCUAUCAUCCUGUUCCUUUCUAGUAUUGUUGGUUGAAUUGUCAUUCAUCUCCUUCUCCAUUAUCGUAAGGUUCUCUUAAGGAUGUUUCGGAUUCUCUCCUCACUACAUAUUUUCCUCUGGUCAUCUCACCAGCUCCCACUGGUCCAGUUAUCCUCUCAGAAUCACAGAAUCUCAGAGUUGGAAGAGAUCUCACAGGCCAUCUAAUAAAAAUCCCCUCUACAGGGGAUCCCCACGA